GGGACCCGUCUUGAAACACGGACCAAGGAGUCUAGCAUGUGCGCGAGUCAUUGGGACUCUAACUAAACCUAAAGGCGAAAUGAAAGUGAAGGUCCGCCCUGCGCGGACCUAGGGAGGAUGGGCGAUCCUGAGGGGUCGUCCGGCACUCCCGGGGCGUCUCGUUCUCAUCGCGAGAAGAGGCGCACCCAGAGCGUACACGCUGGGACCCGAAAGAUGGUGAACUAUGCCUGGUCAGGACGAAGUCAGGGGAAACCCUGAUGGAGGUCCGUAGCGAUUCUGACGUGCAAAUCGAUCGUCGGAACUGGGUAUAGGGGCGAAAGACUAAUCGAACCAUCUAGUAGCUGGUUCCCUCCGAAGUUUCCCUCAGGAUAGCUGGCGCUCGCUUUUCGCGAGUCUCAUUCGGUAAAGCGAAUGAUUAGAGGCAUUGGGGUCGAAACGGCCUCAACCUAUUCUCAAACUUUAAAUGGGUGAGAUCUCCGGCUUGCUUGAACUGUGAAGCCGCGAGAUAUCGGAUCAGAGUGCCAAGUGGGCCACUUUUGGUAAGCAGAACUGGCGCUGUGGGAUGAACCAAACGCUGAGUUAAAGCGCCUAAAUCGACGCUUAUGGGAUACCAUGAAAGGCGUUGGUAACUUAAGACAGCAGGACGGUGGCCAUGGAAGUCGGAAUCCGCUAAGGAGUGUGUAAA
rnacentral:rRNA from 1 species